rnacentral:rRNA from 1 species
UACGGAGGGAGCUAGCGUUGUUCGGAAUUACUGGGCGUAAAGCGCACGUAGGCGGCUUUGUAAGUUAGAGGUGAAAGCCCGGGGCUCAACCCCGGAAUUGCCUUUAAGACUGCAUCGCUUGAAUCCAGGAGAGGUGAGUGGAAUUCCGAGUGUAGAGGUGAAAUUCGUAGAUAUUCGGAAGAACACCAGUGGCGAAGGCGGCUCACUGGACUGGUAUUGACGCUGAGGAGCGAAAGCGUGGGGGAGCGAACAGG